rfam:Parcubacteria (Wolfebacteria) bacterium GW2011_GWA2_47_9b TY19_C0009, whole genome shotgun sequence.
GCCCUCAUCGUCUAAUGGUUAGGACAAUAGGUUCUCAUCCUAUAAAUCGGAGUUCGAUUCUCCGUGAGGGCA